CCUACGGGUGGCUGCAGUGGGGAAUAUUGGACAAUGGGCGCAAGCCUGAUCCAGCAAUGCCGCGUGUGUGAAGAAGGCCUGCGGGUUGUAAAGCACUUUCAGUGGGGAGGAAGGCCUCGAUGUUAAUAGUAUCGAGGAUUGACGUUACCUACAGAAGAAGCACCGGCUAACUCUGUGCCAGCAGCCGCGGUAAUACAGAGGGUGCGAGCGUUAAUCGAAGGUACUGGGCGGAUUGGGUAAGUAGGUGGUUAAAUCCCUGGGCUUAACCUAGGAAUUGCGGUUAAUACUGAGUAGCUAGAGUAUGGUAGAGGUAAGUGGAAUUUCCAGUGUAGCGGUGAAAUGCGUAGAUAUUGGAAGGAACACCAGUGGCGAAGGCGACUUACUGGACCAUUACUGACACUGAGGCGCGAAAGCGUGGGGAGCGAACAGGAUUAGAUACCCGAGUAGUC
rnacentral:rRNA from 1 species